CCUGCGAGGGGCGGGGAAGGCAGAAGUUUCGCCCGGCGGUGGGCUGGCGAGCGCCGCGCAGAAGAGCCCGAGGGGAGCCGCGAACACCGAGAGUCGCGGGCGCCAGUUGGCAGGAAUCCUUCAAAACAGAAUGAAUUCCAUUUCUCUGGAGCCACCCAGUAGCUGUCUGUUACUAUUCUGUGGAUUACAUUUCAAUUUGUUAGUUUUUAUACAAUUUAUUUACUGUUGACUAGUACUACUUUAACAUGUCUAUGCUGAACACAACUCUAAAACUCUACAUUGCCUUGAUCAAUAGUUUCAUGGAGAUAUUUUAUAUAAGGGGGAAAACAUGGAAAUUGAGAAUGGUACAACAUCCAGAAGAACAUUUCCAACAGCAUCUUCUGGAAGUGCCCAUGAAAUUACAAGACUCGUCCUGUCAGUUUCAUUAGAAUUUAAGGAAAAGCUGCAGAAUUAUAAAACUUAAUUUGUAAAAUAUUUUUCUUUUUUUUCUCCUUCAUGUUGCAAAAAAGAAUGGCUAGGAGAGCCAUUCUCAAGUGCAUAUAAUUCUUCAGAAGAUGGUGGAACAAAUAACUGAAGAAAUAUAAAUGUUAAACUUUGAAAUGAUGUCAUUCCAUAGUAACUUUAUUUCAAUUGACACAAUUGUUUAGUUUAUUGUUUCUUUUCAGGUUAACUGUAAUGCAUUUUUAAAAAUGUACUUUAUCUGCUCUCAGAUCUGUUUUGGAUAAAAAAUUGCUAUUUUGACCCCA